rnacentral:rRNA from 1 species
GCUUUCACAUGCAAGUCGAACGAGGAUGAGUUAGCUUGCUAAUUGAUCUUAGUGGCGGACGGGUGAGUAACGCGUAAGAAUCUGCCCCUAGGAGAGGGAUACCAACUGGAAACGGUUGUUAAUACCUCAUAUGCUGAGAAGUAAAAAGGUUUCCCGCCGUCUAGGGAUGAGCUUGCGUCUGAUUAGCUAGUUGGUGGGGUAAUGGCCUACCGAGGCAAUGAUCAGUAGCUGGUCUGAGAGGACAAUCAGCCACACUGGGACUGAGACACGGCCCAGACUCCUACGGGGGGCAGCAGUGAGGAAUUUUCCGCAAUGGGCGAAAGCCUGACGGAGCAAUGCCGCGUGGAGGAAGACGGCCCGUGGGUUGUAAACUCCUUUUCUUAGAGAAGAACAACUGACGGUAUCUAAGGAAUAGGCAUUGGCUAACUCUGUGCCAGCAGCCGCGGUAAUACAGGGAAUGCAAGCGUUAUCCGGAUUCAUUGGGCGUAAAGGGUCCUGAGGUGGUCUGCUUAGUCUACUGUGAAAGCUCAGGGCUUAACCCUGACAAUGCGGUGGAAACUAGUAGGCUAGAAUACGGUAGGGGCAAGGGGAAUUCCCAGUGUAGCGGUGAAAUGCAUAGAUAUUGGGAAGAACACCAAAGGCGAAGGCACCUUGCUGGGCCGAUAUUGACACUGACAGACGAAAGCUAGGGGAGCGAAUGGGAUUAGAUACCCCAGUAGUCCUAGCCGUAAACGAUGGAUACUAAGUGUUGAACGAAUCAAACGUUCAGUGCUGCAGCUAACGCGUUAGGUAUCCCGCCUGGGGAGUAUGCUCGCAAGGGUGAAACUCAAAGAAUU